rnacentral:rRNA from 1 species
UAGGGAAUCUUCGGCAAUGGACGGAAGUCUGACCGAGCAACGCCGCGUGAGUGAAGAAGGUUUUCGGAUCGUAAAGCUCUGUUGUAAGAGAAGAACGAGUGUGAGAGUGGAAAGUUCACACUGUGACGGUAUCUUACCAGAAAGGGACGGCUAACUACGUGCCAGCAGCCGCGGUAAUACGUAGGUCCCGAGCGUUGUCCGGAUUUAUUGGGCGUAAAGCGAGCGCAGGCGGUUAGAUAAGUCUGAAGUUAAAGGCUGUGGCUUAACCAUAGUACGCUUUGGAAACUGUUUAACUUGAGUGCAAGAGGGGAGAGUGGAAUUCCAUGUGUAGCGGUGAAAUGCGUAGAUAUAUGGAGGAACACCGGUGGCGAAAGCGGCUCUCUGGCUUGUAACUGACGCUGAGGCUCGAAAGCGUGGGGAGCAAACAGGAUUAGAUACCCUGGUAGUCCACGCCGUANCGAUGAGUGCUAGGUGUUAGACCCUUUCCGGGGUUUAGUGCCGCAGCUAACGCAUUAAGCACUCCGCCUGGGGAGUACGACCGCAAGGUUG